GUGUCAGCAGCCGCGGUAAUACGUAGGUGGCAAGCGUUAUCCGGAAUUACUGGGCGUAAAGCGCACGCAGGCGGUUUCUUAAGUUUGACGUGAAAGCUCCUGGCUUAACUGGGAGAGGUCGUUGAAGACUGGGGAACUUGAGGCAAUGAGAGGGAUGUAGAAUUCACGGUGUAGUGGUGGAAUGCGUAGAUAUCGUGAGGAAUACCAGUGGCGAAAGCGGCAUCCUGGCAUUAGCCUGACGCUCAUGUGCGAAAGCGUGGGGAGCGAACGGGAUUAGAAACCCCCGUAGUCC
rnacentral:rRNA from 1 species